GGGGAAUAUUGCACAAUGGGCGAAAGCCUGAUGCAGCAACGCCGCGUGGAGGAUGAAGGCCUUCGGGUUGUAAACUCCUGUCUUCAGGGACGAUUAUGACGGUACCUGAGGAGGAAGCCACGGCUAACUACGUGCCAGCAGCCGCGGUAAUACGUAGGUGGCAAGCGUUGUCCGGAUUUACUGGGCGUAAAGGAUGCGUAGGCGGAUGUUUAAGUGAGAUGUGAAAUACCCGGGCUUAACUUGGGUGCUGCAUUUCAAACUGGAUAUCUAGAGUGCAGGAGAGGAAAGUGGAAUUCCUAGUGUAGCGGUGAAAUGCGUAGAGAUUAGGAAGAACACCGGUGGCGAAGGCGGCUGUCUGGACUGUAACUGACGCUGAGGCGCGAAAGCGUGGGGAGCAAACA
rnacentral:rRNA from 1 species